UUUUUAAAACUUUAACUAGUAAGUAUUUAUGAAUUUUUUGUUGGGGCGACACAGUAGUACUUUAACCUACUUAGAUAUACAUAUUACGGGACUUUAUUGAAAACAUAUGAAUAUAACUACCUAAGGGAUAACAGCAUAAUUUUUUUUAUUAAGAUUGUGACCUCGAUGUUGGAUUAGGAAAUAGGUGUAUUAGUCAUAUACCUUAUAAUAUUCUGUUCGAAUAAAUUUUACCU
rnacentral:rRNA from 1 species